rnacentral:rRNA from 1 species
UUUUAAGUCUGAUGUGAAAGCCCCCGGCUUAACCGGGGAGGGUCAUUGGAAACGGGAAGACUGGAGUGCAGAAGAGGAGAGUGGAAUUCCGCGUGUAGCGGUGAAAUGCGUAGAUAUGUGGAGGAACACCAGUGGCGAAGGCGACUCUCUGGUCUGUAACUGACGCUGAGGCGCGAAAGCGUGGGGAGCAAACAGGAUUAGAUACCCUGGUAGUCCACGCCGUAAACGAUGAGUGCUAAGUGUUAGGGGGUUUCC